rnacentral:rRNA from 1 species
UACCAGCACCCCGAGUGGUCGGGACGAUUAUUGGGCCUAAAGCAUCCGUAGCCGGUUUACAAGUCCUCCGUUAAAUCCAGCUGCUUAACAGAUGGGCUGCGGAGGAUACUAUAAGACUAGGAGGCAGGAGAGGCAAGCGGUACUCAGUGGGUAGGGGUAAAAUCCGUUGAUCCAUUGAAGACCACCAGUGGCGAAGGCGGCUUGCCAGAAUGCGCUCGACGGUGAGGGAUGAAAGCUGGGG